rnacentral:rRNA from 1 species
UACGUAGGGGGCAAGCGUUGUCCGGAAUUAUUGGGCGUAAAGCGCGCGCAGGCGGUUCUUUAAGUCUGGUGUAUAAGUGCGGGGCUCAACCCCGUGAGGCACUGGAAACUGGGGAACUUGAGUGCAGAAGAGGAGAGCGGGAUUCCACGUGUAGCGGUGAAAUGCGUAGAGAUGUGGAGGAACACCAGUGGCGAAGGCGGCUCUCUGGACUGUAACUGACGCUGAGGCGCGAAAGCGUGGGGAGCAAACAGG